AGCAGCCGCGGUAAUUCCAGCUCCAAUAGCGUAUAUUAAAGUUGUUGCAGUUAAAAAGCUCGUAGUUGAAUUUCGGGGUUAGUAGGCUGGUCGUGCCACUGGUAUGUACUGGUCUUACUGACUUCUCCUUUCUGAAGAACUGUAAUGCCAUUAAUUUGGUGUUGCAGGGAAUCAGGACUGUUACUUUGAAAAAAUUAGAGUGUUUAAAGCAGGCUAACGCUUGAAUACAUUAGCAUGGAAUAAUGAAAUAGGACGUUCGAUCCUAUUUUGUUGGUUUCUAGGAUUGACGUAAUGAUUAAUAGGGAUAGUUGGGGACAUUAGUAUUCAAUUGUCAGAGGUGAAAUUCUUGGAUUUAUUGAAGACUAACUACUGCGAAAGCAUUUGCCAAGGAUGUUUUCAUUAAUCAAGAACGAAAGUUAGGGGAUCGAAGACGAUCAGAUACCGUCGUAGUCUUAACCAUAAACUAUGCCGACUAGGGAUCGGAUGAUGUUAAUUUUUUAAUGUACU
rnacentral:sRNA from 1 species